rnacentral:rRNA from 1 species
AUGUGCGUUCCGAAGAAGAAGGGUAGUAUGGGGUUUAGGGACCUUCACAAUUUUAAUCUGGCUAUGUUAGUAAAGUAGUGUUGGCGACUUCUCUAGAAUCCUGAAUCUUUAUGUCCGUGAGUUUUGAGGGCAAAAUAUUAUCCCGAUGGUGACAUACUGAAAGCAGGGUCAGAGAAGGCUUCUUCAUAUACAUGGCAAAGCAUUGUUGCAGGUAUCCAAAUUUUCAAAAGAGGAUGUAUUUGGUGA